CAACCUGCCCAUCACUUGGGGAUAACCUUGCGAAAGUAAGACUAAUACCCAAUGACGUCUCUAGAAGACAUCUGAAAGAGAUUAAAGAUUUAUCGGUGAUGGAUGGGGAUGCGUCUGAUUAGCUUGUUGGCGGGGUAACGGCCCACCAAGGCGACGAUCAGUAGGGGUUCUGAGAGGAAGGUCCCCCACAUUGGAACUGAGACACGGUCCAAACUCCUACGGGAGGCAGCAGUGAGGAAUAUUGGUCAAUGGACGAGAGUCUGAACCAGCCAAGUAGCGUGCAGGAUGACGGCCCUAUGGGUUGUAAACUGCUUUUAUAAGGGAAUAAAGUGAGCCUCGUGAGGCUUUUUGCAUGUACCUUAUGAAUAAGGACCGGCUAAUUCCGUGCCAGCAGCCGCGGUAAUACGGAAGGUCCGGGCGUUAUCCGGAUUUAUUGGGUUUAAAGGGAGCGUAGGCCGGAGAUUAAGCGUGUUGUGAAAUGUAGACGCUCAACGUCUGCACUGCAGCGCGAACUGGUUUCCUUGAGUACGCACAAAGUGGGCGGAAUUCGUGGUGUAGCGGUGAAAUGCUUAGAUAUCACGAAGAACUCCGAUUG
rnacentral:rRNA from 1 species